UACGUAGGGGGCAAGCGUUGUCCGGAAUCAUUGGGCGUAAAGAGCGCGUAGGCGGCCCUGUAAGUCCGCUGUGAAAGUCAAGGGCUCAACCCUUGAAUGCCGGUGGAUACUGCAGGGCUAGAGUCCGGAAGAGGCGAGUGGAAUUCCUGGUGUAGCGGUGAAAUGCGUAGAGAUGCGGAGGAACACCGAUGGCGAAGGCAGCCCCCUGGGCUAACACUGACGCUCAGGCACGAAAGCGUGGGGGAGCAAACAGG
rnacentral:rRNA from 1 species